GAUGAACGCUGGCGGCGUGCUUAACACAUGCAAGUCGAACGGAAGGGCCCAAGCUUGCUUGGGUACUCGAGUGGCGAACGGGUGAGUAACACGUGGGUGAUCUGCCCUGCACUUCGGGAUAAGCCUGGGAAACUGGGUCUAAUACCGGAUAGGACCACUUCUUGGAUGUUGUGGUGGAAAGUUUUUUCGGUGUGGGAUGAGCUCGCGGCCUAUCAGCUUGUUGGUGAGGUAAUGGCCUACCAAGGCGUCGACGGGUAGCCGGCCUGAGAGGGUGUACGGCCACAUUGGGACUGAGAUACGGCCCAGACUCCUACGGGAGGCAGCAGUGGGGAAUAUUGCACAAUGGGCGCAAGCCUGAUGCAGCGACGCCGCGUGGGGAUGACGGCCUUCGGGUUGUAAACUCCUUUCGCUAGGGACGAAGCGUUUUGUGACGGUACCUGGAGAAGAAGCACCGGCUAACUACGUG
rnacentral:rRNA from 1 species